AAAAAAUUAAAAGUUCCAACACUAAGUCCUUUUAGUAAGGGAAGCAAAUUGUUUGUCCUUGUACCCUGAAGAGUGAAGACCCUACUUGAACCUUCUCAGGAUCCCAUUUUAGAUCCCAUAAGGUCAGAUCGCUGUUGAUCCCAUGAAGAAACUCCAAUCUAAAACCAUCGUAAGAAUCCAAAAUCAGAUCAAGCAAGCGGUAGAUAUAUAGAAUCCAAUGUGAUUCAAAUCAUUAUUCUGCUUUCAAAGAAGGACCCAACUCCACAAUAACGUUGAAGGAUGUGGGAAGAAGAAUAAAAAGGUUAGAUUUUCUCCCUCUCUGUGGACUCUUUCUCACUCCUCUUUUUAUUAGACCGUUGUCAAAGCAAGCCCUCCCAAAAUCAACUACAAAAGCAAGUAGGAAGGAACAAAGAAAACAGAGAACCAAGAAACUGGCCCAUCUCUCAAAUCCAUCAAAUAUGGGGGAAGAAAACUACACUCUCCAAUCUCUCUUCCAUGCUCUCGACCCCAUGUCCCUAAUCCUUUCUCACAAUUCCUUAGACUCUGACCAACCGGUACCUUUGAAACUCACCACAGAUAGUUACAUCAUGGAGAGAGGACCAAGAUACAGAGCAUAUGCAGAGCUGCGAGAAUCUAAGCUGAGAAUGAAGAUCUUAAGGCAACAAGAAAGAGACGAAAGUGAUUUCAAACAAAUUCCAGCAAAGAAACAAGUCAAAUUUCAACCCAAUUUGACUAGUUCAAGAAAAGGGUCUUCUGUUUUGGCCCAGUCAGUGCCUGAUUUCUCUUGUGAGUUAAGAAAAGAGAAUAGAAAACCGCCGGCAGAGUUGACUCCUCCAUCGAAGAAAUGGUCCAAGGUAAAUGGGAUUUUGUCGAAUUCCAGAGGAAGUAAGUCAGCAAGUGCUGGAGAGAAAAGGAAUGGAAAUGGAGGACUAAUGGCGAGAAAGAGCUAUGCAAGUGUGGAAGAAUUGAAGGGAUUGUCAAUGGCUGCAGCCACUGCUAUAAAUGGCGAAAACAGGGGAGGAAGAGGUAGCAGAGGAAUUGGCAAGACAGUGCUGGGUCACAGGCAAUUUUGAUUUUGAUUCCAUGGUAAUUUCAUAUAUGAUGCGAGAGAUCGGUUAUGUUUUAUUAUUUUUUUUCUUUCUCUUGGGUUGUUUAAUUGGAUUUGCUGUUCCUGUUGCUGCUACGAUUCUUUGGUUAGCUGAGAGUAUGAUGGAUUGUGGAUUGUAAGAUUGUAAAGAUAUGGAUGUAAUCAUAUUUAACAUAUGAUUUAGAGGCAUUUUAUGAUAAUCUUUUGUGAUUGAUUCUCAGG
rnacentral:misc_RNA from 1 species